rnacentral:rRNA from 1 species
UACGUAGGGGGCAAGCGUUGUUCGGAAUUACUGGGCGUAAAGGGCGCGUAGGCGGCCUGUUAAGUCGGACGUGAAAUCCCUCGGCUUAACCGGGGAACUGCGUCUGAUACUGGAUGGCUUGAGUUUGGGAGAGGGAUGCGGAAUUCCAGGUGUAGCGGUGAAAUGCGUAGAUAUCUGGAGGAACACCGGUGGCGAAGGCGGCAUCCUGGACCAACACUGACGCUGAGUGAGCGAAAGCCAGGGGAGCAAAGCGGG